AACGUAGGAGGCAAGCGUUAUCCGGAGUUACUGGGCGUAAGAGUGCGUAGGCGGAUUGAUAAGUGGGUGGUGAAAGCGCCCGGCUAAACCGGGCGAGGUCCAUUCAGACUGUCAGUCUAGAGGCGGAUAGAGGGGUGCGGAAUUCCGGGUGUGAGCGGUGAAAUGCGCAGAUAUCAGGAGGAACACCGGUGGCGAAGGCGGGUCUCUGGGCCGAUACUGACGCUGGAGGCACGAAAGCGUGGGGAGCAAACAGG
rnacentral:rRNA from 1 species